CCCGGCUCCGCCCAGACAGACCGGUUGUUGUGCAGCCCUUCACCUGGAAAUCUCGGCGGAGCGCGGCCUCCGGCCUCCCGCACCCAAACCCUCGCCCCCCAUCCAGAGCCAGCCCUGCCCUCGGCGCGCCGCAUAUUGGCUGGGCCUAAUACUCAGGAAGACGGCGUGCGGCGCAGGGGACUGAGGCCUACAGAGGGAGGCCGGGAGGCCGCGGUGGGGAUGGGUCGGCCUGGUUCCGGGAGAUUGGGAAGUCCUGGAAGGCGCGAGCGGCGUGCCACCUUCCUGCCCACCCGGGCGCGCUGGCACAAAGAGCUUCUCCACUGUUAGAGUUAAGUGGAGCCUGAGAAUACUUUCCCUUCUCAAAAUUUAGGAGUUUGCCAGCGUUCUUUUAAGCAAGGUCCCAUAUUCAAUCUUUCUGUCCUCAAGUUAUCUGGGCUACAACUUCUUUUUUUUUUUAAUUAGUUGCAGUCCCAGAACAAAAAGCAAUGCCCACUGUUUUGUAGCUCUCAAUACAAUAAAGCCAUCGUAGCUAAAUGAUGUACAUACAUGUGCCUAUGUAAAUAUGUGAUUUUUUAAACGUCUGUAUAGCUUUACAUUGUGUAUGAUAAACACAGGAAUUUGAACCUUUUCUAUCUUGAAUACUUUUUCCCAAUGGGUUUAUUACGACUAUGUAUCGAAGUCCAAUUUGAAGGGGGGGAAACAUGCUAGUUGUCAGAAGAAAAAGAUGCAUGAUUAAGUCUAUCUUUCAAGUACAUUAUAACUUGUAGGUAUGAUAAGGUAAGUACACACGUACUAUAUGAAAAGAAACCGAUUAUGAUUAAAUAUCACAAGGGAUACAAAGUUCAGUGAGCAGCCUAAAAAGAGAGGCGACUUGUCUGGUAAGAGAGAAGGGAGGUCACAAGGAAAGUUUGUAAAAGCAGUGAUAUCGCACAGGCCUUAACGCACAGGCCUUAAUGGAUGGGUGGGAUUUCAGCCACAGGGUUUGUAGGAAGAAGGACAUCAAGAGCAAAAGAAUUAAGGAGUGGAGUCAGCUAGGACUUUACAGUCACAUAUAUAGGACAGUCAAAGGGAAGAUGUUGACAAAUGUAAAAAAUAACUUGUUGCCUUUGGAUGGAGCAUAUCCAGGGACCUACUGAGACAGAAUCAAUUUACAAGACUAAAGACUGAAGGCCCAGUGGCCAUUAAAAAGGAUUGCAACAGACCAGGAGAGAACUGACCUGACCCUAGGCCAGAAACAGUGAGUGGCAAAGAAGAAACCAAAUGAAAGCACAGUAGGGCCACAUUGCUAGGGCAGAAUAAACAGGUCUGACAUAGUUGGUGGUGAAGAGCAAUGAAAGAGUCCCAAUCUCUUGGUGGCUUGAGGCCAGGAACAGGUGAAUAGGGAUGUAAAGUUCAGAUCAAAGGGAAAUCAGCAGAAGCACAAUGUUUGGGUUCUAGGAAGGGGGGAAUGACACAAUAAACUUGGAUUGUAACUUAACAUUAAUAGGUAUCAGACCCUGGAGGGGAUCAUUACAAAGUAAAUAUUUCCUUAUUUCUCACAAAUGUGACAUUACCUGUAACUUGUUACUGCCUCUCCCUCCACCCAAUUUUUGGUAAUAAAUCAGAAACAACUCUCUUAGUGUAUCUGUGGAAAAUACAAGGUUGUAGUAAUUGCAGUUCUGCAGAAACAAAAUCACUUAAAAAUGCUCCAGAUGAGAUGUUAAGUAUGAUGGUUAAUUUUAUGUGUCAACUUGACUCAGUUAAGGAUGCUCAGACUGCUAGUAAAACAUUAUUUUUCUGUGUGUCUAUGAGGGUGUUUGUUAGCAUUGAAUCAACAGACUAAAGAAGAAAACCUUACCAACAUAGGCAGGCAUCAUUAAUCUAUUAAGGGCCAGAAUAAAACAAAAAGGUACAAUCUCUUAUUGAGCUCAGUUAUCUAUUUUCUGGUCUCAGACAUUAGCACUCCUGAUUCUUUGGCCUUGAGACUCCAACGGAGGAUUAUGUCAUCAGAUUCCCUGUUACUCAGGCCUUUAGGCUUGUAUCAGAACUACACCACAGGCUUUUCUGGUUCAGUUUGCAGAUAGCAGAUGAUGAGACUUCCUGGCCUCCAUAAUAGUGUUAGUUAAUCUUUCAUCUCUUUGUAUCUACAUGUAUGCCCUAUGGGUUCUGUUUCUUUGGAAAACCUAAAUACAUUGGACUUUGUCAAUAAAAUCUGUUUGGAUUUUUUCCCACUUUAAUACAUGUAUAAAAAAGAACUUAAAUGCC
rnacentral:lncRNA from 1 species